rnacentral:rRNA from 1 species
CCUACGGGGGGCAGCAGUGGGGAAUAUUGGGCAAUGGACGCAAGUCUGACCCAGCAACGCCGCGUGAAGGAAGAAGGCUUUCGGGUUGUAAACUUCUUUUAAGGGGGAAGAGCAGAAGACGGUACCCCUUGAAUAAGCCACGGCUAACUACGUGCCAGCAGCCGCGGGAAUACGUAGGUGGCAAGCGUUGUCCGGAUUUACUGGGUGUAAAGGGCGUGCAGCCGGAGAGGCAAGUCAGAUGUGAACUCCGCGGGCUCAACUCGCGAACUGCAUUUGAAACUGCUUCCCUUGAGUAUCGGAGAGGUAAUCGGAAUUCCUAGUGUAGCGGUGAAAUGCGUAGAUAUUAGGAAGAACACCAGUGGCGAAGGCGGAUUACUGGACGACAACUGACGGUGAGGCGCGAAAGCGUGGGGAGCAAACAGGAUUAGAUACCCCUGUAGUC